rnacentral:rRNA from 1 species
UGACCGUGCUAAGGUAGCAUAAUCAUUUGCCUUUUGAUUGAAGGCUGGCAUGAACGAGAAGACGACAAUUAAGCUUUUUAAGAGUUUACUGUAAAUUGAUAUUUGCGUCAAAAAGCGCAACUUUCUGGGGGGACGAUAAGACCCUGAAAACUUAAAAUCUAGCGAUUGGGCUAAUAUUUAGAGCACCUUGUCAAAUCGCGGGAUUAGGCUGGGGCGGCAGUUAAUCGGCUUUAACAAAGUUAACACCAACCGGUGAUUUUGUAGAACUUAAGUAGUAUUUGGAGCAAGUUACUUCAGGGAUAACAGCACGAUUUUUUCUUACAGACCACAUGGACGGAGAAGACUUGUGACCUCGAUGUUGAAUUUGGAGGGCCUCGGUUAAGCAAAAAUAACCAGAGGGGGUCUGUUCGACCCGGAAUUCUUCA